GGUGGCUCAGUGGUAGAGUGCUUGCCUUGAAUGCAUGAAGCCCUAGGUUCGAUUCCUGAGCACCA
rnacentral:tRNA from 1 species